rnacentral:rRNA from 1 species
UGGUGAACCAACCUGGAGCUGUGAGGUCUGGAUUAGGGUUCCAUGUCAACAGUGAUUGAACAUGGGUAAGUCGAACCUAAGCCAACUGUGAAAGCAGUGACAUCCCGACAAAGGUGCAUUAGGGGGUGUGCCCGGCGAGCCCACACACACACACGCACAGGCAAAAAGGCRUAAAAAACAAGCCCCCACAAAAAUCGCGAAACACUCAUGUGCGAGUGGGGGCGCGGCUGACGGUAUAUAUGAGCGCAUAUAGUUGCUCUUACAGACUCUCUCUCAAAGUGUGUGUGAUGUGACGCUCGUUUGAGAUGCGCACACUAUGCUCUCUGCGUUGGUUCUAUGUCCGGCGAAAGGGAAUGGGGACUUUGUUCCUUGACCGGUCCCGGCACCCUCGAUAGGCUUUGCCAUUCAAUGGUCCAUGCAAAUGGAACCAGGCCACAGCCGCCGGCAGUCGCCCGAGGAAGAGUUUUCUUUUCUGCUUAACGCACGAGAUCAUCCCUGGAAACAGUUCGGCUGGCGAAAGGGUGCCCCGUUGCGGCAGAGCGCCACGACUGUCGUGCGCGUCUCGGUGUUCCUGCCGGUCCGUGAAGACGUGGUCGAGGGGAUUGCUUUACUCUCAACGAAACGCCCGACAAGUUCGGGACGGACCGUACCCUAUAUCCGCAUCUGGUCUCCAAGGUUCGUAGCCUCUGCAGAGUCAGACACAUGUAGGUAAGGGAAGUCGGCAAACUCGAUCCGUAACUUCGGGAAAAGGAUUGGCUCUGAGGGCCGAGCUGGGCCGGGCCUUGCCUGCAAAGCAGUACCUAUAGUGACCGGAGUUUUAGGAGUGCGAGGGGCUCUAGUAGCUGGCUGCGUUUACGCGUGGUCACGAACGAGUCUACCGCUCCGCUCCAACCACG